GCCCGUUUGGCUUAGUGGUACAGCGUCUCACUCGUAUCUCUGCGACAUGAGAAGAUCCUCGGUUCGAUUCCGAGAAUGGGCA